rnacentral:piRNA from 1 species
UGAAAGAUUUGGAAGCAGAGGCG